UGAAAUACUGGAACAGGAAGGCAGUCAAUGCGGAACAAAAAUCAAGAUAAGAGAGAAAUCCUGGAGUAAACCCAAACCAGGAAUAUUUCAGUUAAUAAAGAAGAAAUGACAGAAUUAGAAGAUCACCAUCAGCAACACUAACAUCACGAGAGACCACCAGACAUACUGUGCCUCCGAGUAAAAUUACACACCAUCAGCCAUGAAGUACAUGAGCUGAGACUGCGCCAUCAACACUACAUGUAAUCACCAAUUUACAGGAAAUUUAGAGGAAUGGAAUGCCAAUCAACACAGUCCUUCAGCUAUACUUGAGUGCACUGUAAUGGUAACCUCACUAACGUAGCGAUCACCUUGUGUCCUUAACUUUCUGAUACACAAAUUCUUGAAUA